GAGCGGCGCUGCUCUGCUGACAUGUGCACGUUACUUGCGGGUGUUUGCGCUUCUUGUGCUGUAGCCGAUUUUAUUUUCUCAUUGCGUGUGCCUUGUAACUGUCCUCGGGCACGUGGCUGGCGGUCGAGGUCUUUUGCGUCCGGUCCAAGUUUUGCGCUCAUGGAGACGCCAGUACCGGCGACGUGUGGGUCACCAAGCGUUAACAUUGCGUGUGCACUUUGGUUUGUAGGCCCACCUUUUUUUCCAUCUCACUUUCUUCGGACGUGCACUCUCAGGUAUGGUGUCUGUAGAAUAUUAUACUUCAGCUUAAACAACAACAGAAAGAAAUAACGGCUGCUUUAUUCAGCGAGCACCAUGUAAAUGCCGAGUGCCGCGACUAACAACCAUAACUGUGCCAGGCUAUAGCAGACGACGCUCGGAUGCUUGGCGCGGAGGUCGAUGGCAGUGCUGCGGUGGCGGGAACGGCAGCGGGCUGCAUGGUGCGCAUAGCCGAGGAAUUGGGAUACUUAAAGAGGACUAUAGGCCAUCGCUCCAUAGGCGUUGUUGCGGCGGGCGGCCGAUGUGGUGCUGAUCGUUUGAUCAUAUUUACGCGGUGCUUAGAGAACAUGUGCUCCUUUUUUUUGUGUGAAUUAACGAUCACUAAGCCCUGGGGCCUGUGCAACGCUAUUAGCUCGCUGUAUGUUUCUUGCGGUGCGCCGUUGUUGAUUAUCGUAGUGCGGUCAAUUCGCGCUUCUUUGUCUCGCCGCUCCCGCAUCGGGUCACAGUGCACGGAAGAAUGUGUUGAUAGUUGUGCUGUCGCGUGCUGUAGUUCACCGCAAUUCAACACUACGCUGGACGGACUGUUGGUGCAGUCGAUGCGGCGUGAACGGACACAAAGGAGCGCUCGCCUCAGACGGGAUGUCACAAUUUCCUGAGACGGAGGCAUCUCUGCACCACAUAGGCUGCGGCACUAUGCAGCUUGAACAGCACGACAAAGCAUCUGAUCUGCCUGCUUUGACAAGUGUGGCUGGGCCUGCAGAAAGAGUAAGCAGACUACUGUGUUGCUGAUCAGUGCUGAUCUCCACGUCCGAGCUGGUCCCACAACAUCCAGGCACCACUGUGCUUUGCUUCAUUGACAAGGUGUGGCUGGGCCUGCAGAAAAGCUGUAAGGAGACUGCAGUGUUGCUGAUCAGUGCUGAUCUCCACGUCCGAGCUGGUCCCACAACAUCCAGGCACCACUGUGCUUUCACAAGAUGCAUACGAGCACUGUUUCAAAAACGCCGAACACUGUGGAUACGGAGGCAAGGAGGCUGAAGGACCUGAACAAGCACCUGGCCACGAUGCUUCGGAAUACAAAAUAAAGAUGGUUUGUGUUAA